AUCAACAGUUACACACAUUUUUAUGAAUCUGUUUAUGUGGAGUGCCAUACAGUUAUAAACCUUGCAGCCAGCACUACUGCCAGAGCUGCUGUUCUAGAAAAUGAAUCCACACCUUCUGACCAAUCAGAACUGAGAAUUCAACAGCACUGUGGUUUAAGAGACUUUAAUCAUCAGCUCAUUCAGUGUGUCUGACGGUACAGAACACAACUGUAAUAAAAUGUAAAGCACAAGGUUUUAAAACAAUUUAGGCUCUUUAAUUGAAUGAAGGACACUAGGGAAGAAUGCAGAGUAGACAGAAACUGGUCAAAAACAAUGAGUGACAAGAAAACAAAUACAAAAUGCAUAAGUAUUGCAGUUUGUUUACUUCCAGGCUUCACAGAGCGUUGGCCUUGAACUUGGUCCUCCUGCAGCUCUGCCCGUGUCACAUCUCUCCCUAGUGGAGUGUGGAGCGUGACCCUGAACAGCCUGUGGCUGAGAAUUUAAUGCCUCUGAGUGGUCAUGGACACGACACACCCUAUUUAAAUAGAGUCGGGUAUAUAAAGAAUGUUUUUGGCUGUGUUAGUUAUUCAUUUACUCUCUGAUAACUACUCUGUGGAGCAGAAAUUGCAGAAGGAUGAUUUUAGGAUAUUGUAUUGUAUUGGUGUUAAUUUCAUAUUCUUAUGGACAGUCCCUGACCUCCUCUGCUUCUGUGGUGAAGAGACCUGGAGAGUCAGUCACUCUGUCCUGUACUGUCUCCGGAUUCUCAAUGAGCAGCUACUACAUGCACUGGAUCCGUCAGAAACCAGGAAAAGGACUGGAGUGGAUCGGGCGCAUUGAUAGUGGCACUAGCACAACAUUCUCUCAGUCUCUGCAGGGCCAGUUCUCCAUCACUAAAGACACCAAUAAAAACAUGCUGUACCUAGAAGUGAAGAGUCUGAAAGCUGAAGACACGGCUGUUUAUUACUGUGCACGACACUCACACUGACACAACAGACUCCAGAGCUGUACAAAAACUUCCACAAGCACGUCCUCAUGAGCUGUAAAUAUUCCCUCAGCAGGAAGCUGAACCCCAGACACAUUUAUUAUAAACAUCCAUUCAUUUUAGUGCUCAGUUUUAUUUCCCCUUUUGUCUUACUCCAUUAACAGUCAAAAUUCCUCUGUAAAAUUCAUGAGCUGGCCUUUUCUUCUUCUGAUAUCCUCUGUGUCCUGUGAGUAAACACAUCUCUCCACACCUUACU